UACAGAGGGUGCAAGCGUUGUUCGGAAUUAUUGGGCGUAAAGCGCGUGUAGGCGGCUUUGCAAGUCGGGUGUGAAAGCCCUCGGCUCAACCGAGGAAGUGCGCCCGAAACUGCAGAGCUUGAGUACCGGAGAGGAUGGCGGAAUUCCCCAAGUAGAGGUGAAAUUCGUAGAUAUGGGGAGGAACACCGGUGGCGAAGGCGGCCAUCUGGACAGUGACUGACGCUGAGAUGCGAAAGCGUGGGGAGCAAACAGG
rnacentral:rRNA from 1 species